rnacentral:rRNA from 1 species
ACUCCUGCGGGAGGCAGCAGUGGGGAAUUUUGGACAAUGGGCGAAAGCCUGAUCCAGCCAUGCCGCGUGCAGGAUGAAGGCCUUCGGGUUGUAAACUGCUUUUGUACGGAACGAAACGGCCUUUUCUAAUAAAGAGGGCUAAUGACGGUACCGUAAGAAUAAGCACCGGCUAACUACGUGCCAGCAGCCGCGGUAAUACGUAGGGUGCAAGCGUUAAUCGGAAUUACUGGGCGUAAAGCGUGCGCAGGCGGUUAUGUAAGACAGUUGUGAAAUCCCCGGGCUCAACCUGGGAACUGCAUCUGUGACUGCAUAGCUAGAGUACGGUAGAGGGGGAUGGAAUUCCGCGUGUAGCAGUGAAAUGCGUAGAUAUGCGGAGGAACACCGAUGGCGAAGGCAAUCCCCUGGACCUGUACUGACGCUCAUGCACGAAAGCGUGGGGAGCAAACAGGAUUAGAAACCCUAGUAGUCCC